rnacentral:rRNA from 1 species
AGCAGCCGCGGUAAUUCCAGCUCCAAUAGCGUAUAUUAAGUUGUUGCAGUUAAAAAGCUCGUAGUUGAAUUUCGGGAUUAGUACGCUGGUCAUGCCUUUGGUAUGUACUGGUGUUACUGGUUCCUACCUUCUGAAGAACCGUCAUGUCAUUAAUUUGGUGUGGCGGGGAAUCAGGACUGUUACUUUGAAAAAAUUAGAGUGUUUAAAGCAGGCUCGCGCUUGAAUACAUUAGCAUGGAAUAAUGAAAUAGGACGUUCGACCCUAUUUUGUUGGUUUCUAGGAUCGACGUAAUGAUUAAUAGGGAUAGUUGGGGGCAUUAGUAUUCAAUUGUCAGAGGUGAAAUUCUUGGAUUUAUUGAAGACUAACUACUGCGAAAGCAUUUGCCAAGGAUGUUUUCAUUAAUCAAGAACGAAAGUUAGGGGAUCGAAGACGAUCAGAUACCGUCGUAGUCUUAACCAUAAACUAUGCCGACUAGGGAUCGGAUGAUGUUAUUUUUUAAUGUACUCAUUCGGCGCCUUAC